GGGCAGGUGUGAGCAGGUGUGAGCAGGUGGCAGACAGGCCUGGGAGCCAGUGUGAGCAGGUGGCAGACAGGCCUGUGGGCAGGUGUGGGCAGGUGUGAGCAGACGGAAGAGGGAAACACUCACACUUUGAUGAGCGGCGUC